CGUACUGUCACAACCUCCCAUAAUGCACUUUCACGCACCCAUCGCCCCAAAAAUCCCAUUGUUGCUGCAGCUCAAAGUUGGUUGAACAGCGGUAUCUAUUGCUUCGUGGGAAACCCGUCGCUCCGGAAAGGGUGGAAAUAAUGCAUUUUCUCACAGUGUAGUGUUUGUUGUUUCCGUCUGUCUGCUGUUGCUGCCGUUGCUCGUGUCGCUCGGUGUUCCGCUGAAUGCUUCCGCGUACGAUGAUGCUGCACUAAGCUGCAUCCCGAUCCCACCACCAUCGACGAACGGAAACUCAACCAGCCGCCAACCGACCGACACCAACUCCACACAUUCGCGAAUCACGCUAGCGGUGACACUAUCGUCACAGCCCUCAAACAUCAUCUCUGCUGCAUCCGUUUGUGUGUGUGUGUGGUGUUUACUGCCGUGCUGUCCGGUCCAGUCCGGGAGGCGUUUUUUGUUUCUCCUAGACGGCCUGGGCCGUUUUUUCCCUGUUCAUUCGUGUCACAGUGUCGUCAAUGUUUGGUGCAUGUGCAUUGUUGUUCAAAGCUGUGCUCUAUAGUGUGCGUGUGUUGCCGGAGAAAAAGAAAGAAAAAAUGUUCGCUUGAAUCGUGAAAGUGUGUGCCCGUGUUCUGUUUGUCGUGUUGGCCUCCACACCUGUGACGGCAAGAAUAAGUGCCCUGAAAUUGGUCUGAAAUUGGUUGGAGAAAACGGUGUUCGAUCAAGUGUUUCGCGUGCUCGUUCCGUUACCGUUUUACACAGUGUCUAGGCGCUUUCCCGGCGCACAUAGCAGUUUCCCCAACGUAAGCGCGUUUGUGUGUGUUUGUGUGUGCGCGCUGGGCGUUGGAUGUUGACGUCGUCGGUCAUUGCAUUAUUAAUUAUCCCGAGCACUUGUGCCGCCUGCUUCGUGCUGCUCACCAAGACCUUGUCCAGAAGCCCGUUAACAAGGUGAGCAGCGGUCACGAGCGUGUGUGUAGGGUGUGCGCAUUGCUUCCUUCCGGAGGUCACACACAAGUGGAAGCAUUGCUUGCAUAAGACACCGUGCAAAGGAUCAACACGGGCCAGGUGAACACGCGGCAGGCAGAAGCAGCAGCGAGCAGGGGCAUGGAAGUUAGCACCCAUACAACUUCGACACUCAGUCGAAGCAACAGCCGAACCAGCUCCAACUCGGAGCUAGAGAAGGAACUGAUCGAUCUCGAUCUCAGCGGCGGAGUGAACAACAAAUCCAACACACUAAAGAAGCGCAUCUCUAGCAGUCGGACGCCGGCGAAGAAAGCAAAAAGGAUACGAUUUUUUCGUAAUGGUGACAAAUUCUAUCCCGGCAGCACGAUACCGGUGUCGGUGGAGCGUUAUAGGUCUUUUGAUAGUUUAACGGAAGAUUUGACGAGACUGCUGGAGGACAGCGUAACACUGACCAGUGCGAUACGCGCAAUUUACACGCUCGACGGCAAAAAGAUCGAAAAGGUGGACGAUCUGGAAGAUGGCAAAUGUUACGUAUGUUCCUGCAACAAUGAAGGUUUCAAGCGAAUAGACUAUAACGUAUCCAACACAAACACCAAGAAUCCCAACAGACUGUCUAGAAUAAUACGCCCACUGUCGCCAGUGAAGAACGGUGGCUCAAAUGGUUCGACGCCGCUGAAAGAGAUCGAUUCCGUGGUGCAUCCCAGGAUUGUAACACUCAUAAGGAAUGGUGUGAAACCUCGAAAGAUCAUGCGAUUACUGCUAAACAAACGGAACAGCCCUACCUACGAACACGUGCUGACGGCGAUCACGCAAUGCGUCAAGCUCGAUACGGGCUGCGUGCGGAAGGUGUUUACCGUGUCCGGUGUGCCGGUGCAGCGAUUAGCACAGUUCUUCGACGAGGAUGAUGUGUUCUUUGCGUACGGUAACGAGCGGGUCGGGGUGAACGAUUUCGAGCUGGAAGCGGAGGAAAGCAAAGCCAUCGCCGCGCACCGGAAAACGCUACGCAGCAGUACAACCCGAACGGGACCAAAGCCCAAGAUGCCUGUGAAGAGCCACAAUGACACGUUCGUCUGUGUGGAUGAGUCCGCGCUCAACGGCGGUAUCCUGCCGGACUCGUUGCCCCUAGAACUGCAGGCCAAAUAUACGCUUGGUUCAAUCAUUGGUGAUGGAAACUUCGCCGUAGUACUGAAAUUGAAAGAUAAGCAAAAAAAUACAGAAUACGCACUUAAAAUUAUUGACAAAUCAAAAUGCUCAGGAAAGGAUCACUAUCUAGCGGCAGAAAUUCGUGUCAUGAAAAAAUUGAAUCAUCCAUAUAUCAUACAGCUAGUGCACGAUAUCGAGACGAUAAAGAAUAUGUAUCUCGUGCUGGAGCUGGUGCGUGGUGGCGAUUUGUUCGAUGCCAUAACGCGUGUGACACGUUUUUCCGAGAAUCAGUCCAAGAUUAUGAUGAAACAUUUAGCCUCGGCGAUGGCGUACAUGCAUUCCCUUAGCAUCGUCCAUCGGGACAUUAAGCCGGAGAACUUGCUGGUGGAAUUGGAUAGCGAUGGUAAUGUGGUUCUACUGAAGCUGGGAGACUUUGGGCUCGCCUGUGAGGUUACGGAACCGCUACUCUCGAUCUGCGGCACACCGACGUAUGUGGCACCAGAAAUUCUGAUGGAAUCCGGUUACGGUGUUAAGAUCGAUGUUUGGGCCGCCGGCAUUAUACUGUACAUUUUGCUGUGCGGCUUUCCACCAUUCGUUUCGCCCGACAAUCAGCAGGAGCAACUGUUCGAUGCCAUCCUGAACGGGUUCUUCGACUUCCCUGCGCCGUACUGGAACAACAUUGGCGACAGUGUGCGCGAUCUAAUCAUCAACAUGCUGCAAUCCGAUCCGGAGCUACGAUUUUCCAGCGAGGACAUUCUCGAUCAUCCGUGGCUAACGAGCGACAUUGUGGAUGAUACGCGCGAUCCUAAUGGAAUCGUUGUUGAAGAAACGUGCGACGGCGCACCGUUAGAGUCUUUGGUGGGAAUUCCCAUCAGUACCCAGUAGAGGAAGUACCUUUGCCCCGAUGCACCACCCAUUCCACUUGUGACCCUUUCAGCCACAGGUGUGAGAGAAGCAAUUUUUGUUUCACUUUCGCUACAGUGCGAAGACCACAUUGACGAGUUUUAUCGGCACAGUGGUUAGCAUCGUGGCCUAAUGGCAAACUUCAAUCUCGUUUCGAACGCGGACCUCAUGCAAAUCUCACCACUCGACACAGAUACACACACACACAGCUGGAGGCUAAAUUUUAAGUGAAACUGGAUGAUUGGAAAACGAAACAAGCGUAACCGCAAUGAGAGUUCUAAAUCGAUAGUCUGUAAACGAUAAACCUCACAACCGGUCUACAACUACAUACACUUCCUGUAAUGUAAGAAAUGACUAACCAAUCAAGCUAACAGUGAAGCAACCCUAGUAGCGUUAGAGCGGUACAAUGCUGAAAACAAAAGCAAAAAAAAAACACAAAAAGUCUAUUGUUUGAUAAUCAUAUCACCUUCUCAUGAUACCAAAAGACAUCAAUCGGGGUUUUCGGACAUACUGCAGCAAUAAUCUGCUACAAAAAUACCCUUGCAAAGUGGAGUUUGGUUGCAUUGAUUUAAUUGUAAAACAAAACAAAAAUCGAUUUGAAAUAUCGAAGGGCCUAGACACUCAUCAUCAGGUAGGAUAUUGACUGGAGAAAUGGACAGCAGGAUCAGACGCUUUUUGAUUUUUUAUUUGUUGGGUGUUCUGAGCUGUUUCGUUCGAAUGCGGAGGGAACAAAUCCGAUAACCCGUUUAGAUGGAACAGUUUAACGUAACGUGCCUCGAAAAAGAUAUCAUCCAUUACAGGCAACCAGACACAAAACAAGCGGAACGAUGAUGGUCAGAUAGAUUACGGUUUUAUACAUAUAUGAAUACGAUAUACAGUUUAUAGACAGCUUAUUGGCUUUUUAGAUUCGUUUACGAACGAAACAAAAAUCAGAACAACAUACAAAAAUGGUGAGGAGAGACAAUAGCGUUAACAGGUUUCUCUCGAAGCUACACAAUAUUUAGUGAGGGGCAUAACCACUCGGUAACGGGAAUUAAAUCACAGUGAAUGAGUUAGAAUAGUGAGUUAAAUCUUGCACUCACUGUUUAGGAGUUCAAUCUCGAGGAGUGAUUUAACUCUUCGUACCGAUUAAUCACUCACUCACUGUGUUUAAACUCACUCACUUCGUUUUAACUCACUCACUAUGUUUCAGCCACUCGUGAGUUAAAUAUCGCUUCAAUAAUUUAAAACACGUUGGCAUGAUGAUUUCAGUCAAUACAAUUUGUGUUAAAAAUAAUGUAAUGUGACAUUAAUCUCACAAGUGAGUUAUAACGUAUUCAGUGAAGUAAAAUAUAGUGAGUGAGUUGAAACGUAGUGAGUGAGUGAGUGAGUGAGUAGCCGGCACGGAGAGUUAACUCAUAAGUGAGCUGAAAUUACUCUUAGUGGUGAUCUAAUUCAUCUCAGUCAUAGCUAAGAUUUAACUCAUUCGCUCAUCCUGACUCAGUUUCCACAUCACUACACAAUAUCGACGAAUUUCAAUCUGUAACUCAUGGAACACACACUGUUCACGGUCAGUCUCUCAACUGUAGCUCCAAUUCUCUCCAAAACUACUAACUACACACAACGAGGACAACACAGCGGCACACGAGCGGCUACGUCGGUACGUCAAUUAGUCUGCAAAAAGUCUAGCAUCGGUAGCAAAAUAAGAAUAACGCAUCUAAAAAACGCUUUCAAACACAACACCGUCUUCAUCAAUCUGUCCAGCGAAUGGCUUCUGUUUUGCUUCCCUUUUCGUGAGCCACUCUUUUAGCUUUCUAACUUUCUUUGCGAUCGAGGAUAGGAAGAAAAACCCCCUCCAAAGCCCAGCCAGAAGGACAAUAAGAUGUAAAUGCUGUGCUUCUUCCAAAUCAGCAGAAACACACAUAUAGUCGCCCACUAGCCUCGCAGAACAACACCAGGUUGCAACCACACAGAACAUCCAUCCAGUUUAUAGGCAGAAGCAGUUACAUAGGCAAUCGUGGUUACUUACUUACACGGCGGAACAGCGUGUCCAGUCGUAUGUUUCGUUAGCGAAAGCGUUGCAGUUAUGGAGAUAUCUUCAUUUAGCUACGCUUCCCUAUAUUCCUUACCCAAGCUGCAGCGACCAUAGUGUGGAGAGAGGAUUGUACAUAUAGCCAGCAUAACGCUAGAACGACGCCGUCAGAAAGCCCGUUUGCACGAUGGUACGGAUGCAGUUUACAAGCAAAGUUUUUGCGAUAAGUUUUGUACGUGAUGUUUGAACAAAAGUGUUUGGUUAGCUUUUUACUGCAAGUGAUAUACAUAACGAUAACAUUUUCCAACGAAAAAUCAUUAGCAUUAAAGGAAAACGAUCCUUCUCACGCGCUCGUUUGGUUACCUCUAACGCUUUUCGCUUGCUAACCAAGGUACCCGUACCAACCAGGCACAAUGUAAAGAGUGGAUUAAUCAAAACAACAUAAUGCAUAAUACGGCGUUUACAAAUAUCGUAAACCUCUAUCGCGUCCGUGUAGGACGGAAAGUGAAAUCACACAUAUAUAUAUAAUGAAUGAAUAAAUUAUUCUAUCGUGAGCUAUUUGAAACCAUGAA